rnacentral:rRNA from 1 species
UGGGGAAUCUUGCACAAUGGGGGAAACCCUGAUGCAGCGACGCCGCGUGAGCGAUGAAGCCCUUCGGGGUGUAAAGCUCUUUCGGCAGGGACGAUAAUGACGGUACCUGAAGAAGAAGCUGCGGCUAACUACGUGCCAGCAGCCGCGGUAAUACGUAGGCAGCGAGCGUUGUUCGGAGUUACUGGGCGUAAAGCGUGCGUAGGCGGUGGUCCAAGCUGGUGUGAAUCUCCCGGCUCAACUGGGAGGGUGCGCCGGAAACUGGGCCGCUGGAGUGCGGGAGAGGCAAGCGGAAUUCCAGGUGUAGCGGUGAAAUGCGUAGAUAUCUGGAGGAACACCCGUGGUGCAGACGGCUUGCUGGACCGUGACCGACGCUGAGGCACGAAAGCGUGGGUAGCAAACAGGAUUAGAUACCCUGGUAGUCCACGCCCUAAACGAUGCACACUUGGUGUGGGCAGUUCAGUCUGUCCGUGCCGAAGCUAACGCG